AAAAAUCCAUAAUAUCUUAUUUUCUAUAAAUACUAUAAUGGGGUCAUCUCACAUUUUUAAGCUUUUGGAACUGUACAAUUGAACUUUUUGUGUCAUGUAUGGGCUCUCCCUUCACUUUAACAUUCAAUGGAUAUUUCUGAGUUUACUGGAGACUCCCUCUACUUAAAAUCCAUUUGAAACUCCCUAUAAGUACAGCAGAACAAAGAAUAUGUUAGCUGACCUUUGACAUGAAAUCACCUUAGAAAUAAAUGCAACUAUAAAUCUUUUCGGCGUAUUUCUUUCUGCUUAAGAGCUCUGUGAAAUACCAUUAUUUCUCUCAUCGGGGUUUGAGAUCUUAGCAGCCUCAAAAACCAAUUAAUAUUUGCCAUCUCUGUUCUGCCACUUCAGUUUAAUUUAAAGGAUGAGAUAAGAGUUCACAUGGCUGAGAUUUCUACUAGUUCUUAGCAUAAAAGAAACAUACACACCAUACCCCAAAGUCACAAAAACUAUAUCAAGUUUUAUAUGUCAUCACACCAUCUGGCCAGGACUUAUUAAGAGAGUCAAAGAAACACUUGGGAAGCACUGUUCCUCUGGGUCAGCCCUGAACUGAGUAGGAAUUGGGGACAGAAGUCAACAAUACCCAAAGGGAGUUCAGAUCUGAUCAGAGACUUCAAGGUAUGCAAUUUUAGUUCAGAGUGGUAGGGGCUCUUAGCAGAGGUGUGCACCAAGUGUUUUGAGCUAUGUGUGAACAGCAUCACCUAGGAGGUGUUGUUUGAGCUGUUCCUAAAAGAUGAAGAACUCCAGGUAGCCACAAAGAAAAGACACUUAACUCAGGAAACAAGUUUCCAGAAAGAACCAGGAGAACAAAAGAAUAUGGUGCCCUAGGACUAGAAAGCAGUUCUGUGAGGCAGACGAACUAGGACAUAAGGUAGAGCGGUUGGGGGAAUGACACAUGGGAAGUAGCGUGGGCAUAGAGGGACCAAGUCAUCUUUAUUCUUGUACCUUUAGUAGAGGGCCUGGCAAAUAGCAGGUUCUCAGAAAAUAUUCAUGAAAUGUAGUAUAAUACAUUACAUACCAAAGGCUCCUAGCCUCACCUAGAACAUAGUACAUAAACAGUAGGUAUCUAGUAAGUAUUUAUUAAUAAUAAGAAAAUACUAACCCUGCAGCUUUAGCAAGUGGAAUUGUAUUCUUCUAGAUCAAACCUCUAGGAUAACAAACACUGCCCUGAAAAGGCAAUUUCUGACCCUGAUGUCACAGGUUUCAUGAGUAUGCUGUAGUGUUUACAUGUACCUCUUAACACUGAUGGUCAGGGCUCUGUCUGCCCUUGUGUAAUUGAUGUCUCUUUUGAUUAGUUAACCCCAUGUGUAAAACCAGCCAAGUUUUAUGCCUAUUUCUUUCCUGCUGUGGACCAUGGAUAUCUAUACCAUUUUCUUUCAAAGGGCAAAUGGAUCCUGAGUACUUUCUUUAAAUGGCUAUAACUUCUAAUUCAGUAAAGACAAUCAAUUGGUAGUUUUCCAAUUAUUAUGUGCAUUUUCUUAGAGACUGGCAUUAAGGACAGAUUUUGUCUUGUAGGGCCCAAGCAUCAUUUACACUUGUAAAGAAACAGUGUGGGUCCUAAAUCAAGGUCACUUAAUUUCUACAAUCUUUCUUGCUCCUAAUUUCUGUGAAUGAGCAUCUUCUCAGGACUCAAGUGAUGGUGACUCUUGUUUCUGCCUCCUAAGGAUAUGUCUCAGCUUUGUGGAAUUUUUUUUUUUUUGGCUGUACAAUGGAACUUGGAUGCAUUUUCAAUUAACUGUCUCUAGGAAUCAAAGAGUAACCUCAGAGCACCCCAGUUUGCAUAAAGAAGAUUGACAAAAUGUCUCCAGAGCCUGUUCUUGCUGAGCUGACCCAAACACUUGGAAGAACAUGAUAUGACUCAGCAACCCCUCUUGCUGUGAAAAGUGCAGCCACAACUGACCAUCUGCACUGGCCACAGGCAGCUGACUGCCCAAGGCAAGUUAUCUUUGUUGCAUCCUUCUACGUAUUCUAGGGAGGCUUUGCUACACAGCCCACCAAUCAAAAAAAAUUUUUUUAAUUACACUAAAAAAUGUAUUGA